rnacentral:lncRNA from 1 species
AUGCGGUGUCCGCUGAUGUUCCGGGAGCUGGCAGCGUCCCCCGGCCAGGGGGAGCAGCCGGGCUGGGCGGGGGGGGGGGGGGGGGGGGGGGGGGGGGGGGGGGGGAGCAGCCGGGCUGGGCGGGGUGGCCAGACGGGCUCGGAGCAUCCCUGCGGUGCCGCGGGGAUCAGCCGCGGGCAUCCGGCGGCUCCUGCCCGCACCCGCCCUCGGCUCACGGGGCCGGGGACGUGCGCUGGCCCGGGCAGCGUCCCCAGGGCUGGGCUUUGCUGGGCGCCCCCUCCCCGGGGUGAUCACAGAACCGCAGAAUGGUUUGGGAUGCACCUUCUGCCAUUCGGGGCACCCACGGGUGCUCUGCGGGGUGAAGGUGCAGCUCCCCCGCAGCCCCUGCGCCGGGAUUUUGGGGCUCUGCCCUUCACCCUCCCCUGCUUUGCCUCCUCUCAUUUGGCAGCAGCUCAAAGCAGGGGCUGCCACAGACGCCGGCCCGAGGCUGAGCCACCCCCACCCCACAGGUGUCCUGGGGAAGGGGGAUCCCACCGGGGGGUCCCCAAAUGCAGACAGGUGUCCUGGGGAAGGGGGAUCCCACCGGGGGCUCCCCAAAUGCAGGGUGGGGCAGGAUCACCCUGCUCAGGCUGUGAGUCCUUCACCAGGGCUGGGGGGGGACUGCAGACCCCAGACCAAAUUUAUGGUUUUGCUGCCCGAAGGAGUGAGCUCAGGUUGACCCACCCAGGGCUUCUUGCCCCUGGUUUUCCGAGGGAAGGAGGUGGAUUUUGGCAGGCUGGGUACAUCGGGGUGACCCUUUGGCCCCCAUCCCUCUGUGGGGGGCGGGUUUUGUGCCCCAUGGAAGUUCUUGGAGGGUUCCGUGGUGUCCCGCUCCCCCCUUUUCCCGAUUCCGCGGGGCGGACGCGGCUCCCAGGGGAUCAGCCCAUUGGGGAAGGAGCUGCGAUGGCUCGGGGGGCCAUGGGGGGGCUGCGGGGGGGUUGGUGGGGGGGGGGGGGGGGGGGGGGGGGGGGGGGGGGGGGGGGGGGGGGGGGGGGGGGGGGGGGGGGGGGGGGGGGGGGGGGGGGGGGGGGGGGGGGGGGGGGGGGGGGGGGGGGGGGGGGG